GCGGACUCGAGGGCGGCUUCCAGGCUCGCCUGCUGCUGCUGUGCCUGCAGCCUGGCUUUGGGGACAGGGGAGGGUGUCUCCUGAGGAAAUGCGAACGCCAUCGCCUCGAGAAGAUUGGAGGGCUGCGGUGCAGCCUGGAUGUUCCAGAGGUCCUGUGAGCACGGAGGCUUGAAGAAAUAAAAUGGACUUGAAGAAAAAAAUGAAAACAAAUCUGCCCACACUUCCCUUGAGCCGGGGACCCCGAGGCUGCGUCUCUGCGAUUCUUUGAAUAAAAGACCCCUGACACGCUCAGAA